UCUGUGGAGUCCGGAGUCGUCGUGGCUCCGAUCCGCCACACGGUACCUCCUCGCGCCGAUGGCCAUAUAUAUACCCCCGAAUCUUGUCCCGCAACCUAAGCUAGCUCCGGGGCAGGAAUCGUUAAUCCAUCAAGAUCUUCUUCUGAGUCAAUCUUUUUCUUGCCCUCGGUUGUCUGAGAUCUUCACUGUUCAAUUCGGAAGCAACAAGGGAUAUGGAGUCGAUGAAGGCAAACGCGGCGGGAACUCGCCACGUCGUCAAGAACCGUCGACUGGCCGUUGUGAUCAACGUUGCCAUUAACCUGUUGUAUUCAUUCUUGUAUGUUUUCUACGUCGGUGUCUUCACCGAACUUCUGAAACGCCUCGAGGUAUGGACAGCAGGGGCGGUAAUUUUGUUCAUCGUGAAUCCCUGUUUUCUGGUGAUUUGGCGGAUAUUAUCAUUUUAUAGGACUGUUUAUGAUGACAUUGUUAAUGGAGAUGUAGCGAGCAAGAUACCGUUGGAAAAGACGUCAGUCCUUGUAUAACAUAUAUAGGGCAUAAAUGAAGAUGUAAAGCACGUUAAUUACAUGCUAUGUAAACGUGGUAGAGUUAAAAACCAUAGUGAACAUCGUUAUUAUUGUCUAA